rnacentral:lncRNA from 1 species
CCCCACAGCUGUGGGCAUUUAAUCCUGCCAAAUGCUGAGCACAUGGGGCACAGCUCUGCCUUGGCCAUAUAACCCUUAGCAGGGACAUAACCCUCCUUUAGCUGAGUUCUCCAAGGGAAAGGAGGUAUUGCAGGGGAUAUCAGCACUCAGUGCUGUUCUUCUUUUAGGCACUGCUGAUCCCAGGUUGUAAGGCUCUUGGGGAGACUCUGCUCUCAAAGGGAUGUGAACCUGAAAGCACCAAGACUGGCCCUGACUUGGCCGGGUGUGAGCAUUAGUGGCGCUGCAUGCAAGCCCCCUUCAGUCUCAGAAUUAGAGAGCUGAAUGCAAAAAUGAGCUGCCAGUUCUUACAAGACAGGACAUUUCUAGAGCCUUGUGCUCUAUGACAUUUUCAAGCCCCAUCGACAGAAAGCCUUUGGGGAAACUGAGGCCAGGAGCAAUUUCAACUGGAGCAUCUGAACCAGGUGUUGUCAUGGGGCUGAGACAAGCAGUGCCCAGACUCCCAGUGCUACGAGCUGCAUGGCUGCCCCAAAGCUACAGAGGUCUCAAACCCCAGCUGCCCUAUAUGUGAAGGGGCUGGAGAAGAGGCUCAGGC